rnacentral:rRNA from 1 species
ACCUGCCGAAAGGUGGGCUAAUACUGCGUAAUACCACAUUAUGUUCGCAUGAUGUGGUCAAAGUAGCAAUGCGCUUGAGGAUGAUCCUGCGUUCUAUCAGCUUGUUGGUGAGGUAACGGCUCACCAAGGCUACGACGGAUAGCCGGUCUAAAAGGAUGAUCGGCCACAAUGGCACUGAGACACGGGCCAUACUCCUACGGGAGGCAGCAGUGAGGAAUUUUGGACAAUGGGGGAAACCCUGAUCCAGCGACGCCGCGUGAAGGAUGAAGGUUUUCGGAUUGUAAACUUCUUUUAGAGGGGAAGAAUCUCCCGCAAGGGAGUUGACGGUACCCUCAGAAAAAGCCACGGCUAACUACGUGCCAGCAGCCGCGGUAAUACGUAGGUGGCAAGCGUUACUCGGAAUUACUAGGCGUAAAGCGCGUGUAGAUGGUUUGAUAAGUCGAACGUGAAAUCUCCCGGCUCAACCGGGAGGGGUCGUUUGAAACUAUCAGACUUGAGUGUGGGAGGGGAAUUUGGAAUUCCUGGUGUAGCGGUGAAAUGCGUAGAUAUCAGGAGGAAUACCAAUGGCGAAGGCAGAAUUCUGGCCCAAUACUGACAUUGAGACGCGACAGCUAGGGGAGCAAACAGGAUUAGAUACCCUGGUAGUCCUAGCCGUAAACGAUGUUCAUUAGGUGUGGGAGGCAUCGACCCCUUCCGCGCCGUAGCUAACGCAUUAAAUGAACCGCCUGGGGAGUACGGCCGCAAGGUUGAAACUCAAAGGAAUUGACGGGGGCCCGCACAAGCAGUGGAGUAUGUGGUUCAAUUCGACGCAACGCGA